rnacentral:rRNA from 1 species
UUUGGACAAUGGGGGAAACCCUGAUCCAGCCAUCCCGCGUGUAGGAUGAAGGCCGUCGGGUUGUAAAGUACUUCUGGCAGAGAAGAAAAGGUACCUCCUAAUAUGAGGUACUGCUGACGGUAUCUGCAGAAUAAGCACCGGCCAACUACGUUCCAGCAGCCGCGGUAAUACGUAUGGUGCAAGCGUUAAUCGGAAUUACUGGGCGUUAAGCGUGUGUAGGCGGUUCGGAAAGAAAGAUGUGAAAUCCCAGGGCUCAACCUUGGAACUGCAUUUUUAACUGCCGAGCUAGAGUAUGUCAGAGGGGGGUAGAAUUCCACGUGUAGCAGUGAAAUGCGUAGAUAUGUGGAGGAAUACCGAUGGCGAAGGCAGCCCCCUGGGAUAAUGCUGACGCUCAGACACGAAAGCGUGGGGAGCAAACA